rnacentral:rRNA from 1 species
GUGCCAGCCGCCGCGGUAAAACGUAGGAGGCGAGCGUUAUCCGGAUUUACUGGGCGUAAAGCGUGUGCAGGCGGCCUGACAGGUCGGGCGUGAAAUCUCCUGGCUUAACCGGGAGGGGUCGUCCGAAACCGUUAGGCUUGAGGGCCGAAGAGGGAUAGGGAAUUCCCGGUGUAGUGGUGAAAUGCGUAGAGAUCGGGAGGAACACCAGUGGCGCAAGCGCUGUCCUGGUCGGCAACUGACGCUCAGACACGAAAGCUUGGGGAGCGAACGGGAUUAGAAACCCCAGUAGUCC